UGACUUCCCCUUUAUCGCUGGGACCAUGCAAGAAGAUCAAUUAUGGUCACAUGACUGCACCACCUGACCUGCUCAAUUCAGAAUCUAAUCAAUCAAUGUAGCAACAGAAGCUCUUUAUUUGAUCUCUGUUUGCUUUAAUGUUCCUUUAAUUUGUUACACAGCAAACAGGGAUUCUGAAAUCAUCCGGGAUAGAUGCCAGCAGUAAAUCCGGUCUCCUGAACAUGUUCUUCAGGAUCUUCAACAGCUCAAUCUGCAGCUGGGUAUUUGUGAUCGUCUUCCUCGUCUU